rnacentral:rRNA from 1 species
UACGAAGGGGGCUAGCGUUGCUCGGAAUCACUGGGCGUAAAGGGCGCGUAGGCGGCCUUCUAAGUCGAACGUGAAAUCCCCGGGCUCAACCCGGGAACUGCGUCCGAUACUGGGAGGCUUGAAUCCGGGAGAGGGAUGCGGAAUUCCAGGUGUAGCGGUGAAAUGCGUAGAUAUCGUAAGGAAGACCAGUGGCGAAGGCGGGUCUCUGGACAGUUCCUGACGCUGAGGCACGAAGGCCAGGGGAGCAAACGGG